UACGUAGGGGCAAGCGUUGUCCGGAAUCAUUGGGCGUAAAGAGCGUGUAGGCGGCCCGGUAAGUCCGCUGUGAAAGUCCAGGGCUCAACCCUGGGAUGCCGGUGGAUACUGUCGGGCUCGAGUCCGGAAGAGGCGAGUGGAAUUCCUGGUGUAGCGGUGAAAUGCGCAGAUAUCAGGAGGAACACCAAUUGCGAAGGCAGCUCGCUGGGACGUUACUGACGCUGAGACGCGAAAGCGUGGGGAGCAAACGGG
rnacentral:rRNA from 1 species